rnacentral:rRNA from 1 species
AUUGAACGCUGGCGGCAGGCUUAACACAUGCAAGUCGAGCGGGGGAAGGUAGCUUGCUACCGGACCUAGCGGCGGACGGGUGAGUAAUGCUUAGGAAUCUGCCUAUUAGUGGGGGACAACAUCUCGAAAGGGAUGCUAAUACCGCAUACGUCCUACGGGAGAAAGCAGGGGAUCUUCGGACCUUGCGCUAAUAGAUGAGCCUAAGUCGGAUUAGCUAGUUGGUGGGGUAACGGCCUACCAAGGCGACGAUAUGUAGCGGGUCUGAGAGGAUGCUCCGCCACACUGGGACUGAGACGCGGCCCAGACUCCUACGGGAGGCAGCAGUGGGGAAUAUUGGACAAUGGGGGGAACACUGAUCCAGCCAUGCCGCGUGUGUGAAGAAGGCCUUAUGGUUGUAAAGCACUUUAAGCGAGGAGGAGGCUACUUUAGUUAAUACCUAGAGAUAGUGGACGUUACUCGCAGAAUAAGCACCGGCUAACUCUGUGCCAGCCGCCGCCGUAA